rnacentral:rRNA from 1 species
AGCCUGAUGCAGCAACGCCGCGUGGGGGAYGAMGGCCUUCGGGUUGUAAACCUCUUUYAGCAGGGAAGAAGCGCAAGUGACGGUACCUGCAGAAAAAGCACCGGCUAACUACGUGCCAGCAGCCGCGGUAAUACGUAGGGUGCAAGCGUUGUCCGGAAUUAUUGGGCGUAAAGAGCUCGUAGGCGGUUWGUCGCGUCUGMUGUGAAAAUCCGAGGCUCAACMUYGGACCUGCAGUGGGUACGGGCAAACUAGAGUGYGGUAGGGGAGAUUGGAAUUCCUGGUGUAGCGGUGGAAUGCGCAGAUAUCAGGAGGAACACCAAUGGCGAAGGCAGRUCUCUGGGCMGUAACUGACGCUGAGGAGCGAAAGCGUGGGGAGCGAACAGGAWWARRUACCCUGGUAGUCCACGCCGUAAACGGUGGGHWYWDDRWGKGGGGUCCGUUCCACGUUAUUCCGUGUCGCAGCUAACGC